AACUCGUGUUUUUGGACACACUUCCCAUUGGUAGCUGCUUAUGUACAAGAGGGUCCACGUGGUUCCUCAUCCCACAUCCUCCAUACUAACACCUUCUUCAGUCACUGGGGCUUGACAUUUCAGUUAUCUGUGAUUCCUCUUUGACUCUUGCCCUCUACUGCCUCCCAAUCCUCAAAUAUUCUGAUUAUUUAUUUACAUUAUUUUUAUGCAUACCAACUUCUUUCUAUUCUUAUUUGUAUUCUGAGCUAGUAUCUUGGCUCAUGUUCACCACUCUGUUAAACAUCCCCUCCUCUGGAUUCUCCCUUCCAGAUCUUCCCAGUCUUUAAAUUUCAACUCAUCUUCCUCUUCCUCUUUGAAGACAUUAACAGGAGCUCCAUCCUUUAAACUCUUCUAUAUGCUUCUGUCACUUGGCAGAUUCCCAAAGCAUUCUUCAUUAUUAAUAAUCUUUUCAUGAGAGAUUAUAGGAUAAUAACAAUAACUAGUAUUUAUAUAGCAUUUUAAAGAUUGCAAAGUACUUUAUAGAAAUCAUCUCAUUUGAGUUUGCCAUCAGCAGGUGAAGAGGCUUCUCACAAAAAGAGCUUAAAUGAUUCCUGAUAUUUUUCAGGUCUUCUUUUAAUUUUAGGAGAUUUAAAAAAGCACAAACAAGCCGAGUUGCCCCAAGACCAGGAAACCUCAAAGGAAAGCAGCUCUCUGAUUUCAAGUUUGCUUGGAAUUUACAAAUAUUAUCUCAUUUGAUCCUCACAACAAUCCUGGGAAGUAGGUACUAGUAUUAUCCCCCUUUUAUAGUUGAGGAAUUAAGACAGAUAAAGGUCAAGUGACUUGCCCAUGGUCAUACUUAAAGAUGGAUUUAUAUUCAGGUCUUCCCAAUUCCAGGCCCAGGGCUCUAUUUAUUGCACCAACUAGUUGCCACCAGUGGGCCCCCUUAAGAUUAUACUGGCUGUCCUUCUGACUUUCCCCUGAAACCUAAAUGUGUGGCCUCCCCUAUUAGAACUGGAACUCC
rnacentral:lncRNA from 1 species